UAAAAUGUUGUGACUUGAAGUUUGAGGAAAUGUCUUCUUUUUAUAGUCUGCUGUCAGUCCAACAGCCUAUCUGAAGUAUGCUGAAAUCUCUUAUCGUCUUGUUAAGUUUGACAACAAACAUAUGCACUGAAGUAAAUGUCAUUGCACGAUUUUCUCUCUUGCUUUAAUUUUUCUAGUAUUUCAAAGAUUUACUUAUUUUAUGUAUUCACCUCAUAUAGAACUGAGUGUCGACAUGUAUAUAUGUGCACCGCAUGCUUAUUUGGUGUCUUCCAGAGUGGGAAGAGGGUAUUUUUUUUUCUUUUGAGUUGCGGAUGAGUAUGAAAAUAAUGUGGUUGCUAAGAGCUGAACUCAGGUCCUCUGAAAGAGCAGUGAGUCCUCUUAAAGGGUGAGCCAUCUCUCUGGGCUUCCUCUUGCUUUUCUUACUUUGGUAUAAUUUCAAUAAACUUCUGGUUUUCAUUUUGUUAUAUUCUACGUUUACUAAUCUCUUUCUCACUGAUUUUCUAAUCUACUAGCUUCUCCAUCUUUUUUUUAUUUCUAAUUUUUAUUUUAAGUUCACUGAUCUUUUGCCUGCAUGUAUAUCAGUGUGAAGGUGUCAGACCCUCUGGAACUGGAGGAACCAACAGAUGUGAGCAGCCCAUCCGCAUCCUGCAAUGUUGGGAAUUGAACCCCAGUCCUCUGGAAGAGCAGCCAGUUCUCUUAACUGCUGAGUCAUCUUUACAGCCCCUAUUUACUUCUUUGUUUAUGCCAUUCACCAUAUGUAUUCUUGUCAAAGUCUAAAAUGUCAAAAACUGCAUACUUAUGAAGAACUAUAAAAUAAUUUCGCAUGACAUUUUUUCUUUAAUUUAAUUGAUUUAUCUAUGCAUCACAACCACAGCUUCCACUCUCUCCCUCUACUCUUCACAUCCUCCAUCCUCCCACCACCCCCUCCCACCUCAUCCAACCCUCCUCCAUUUCCCUUCAGAUAAAGGCAGGCCUCUUAGGGAAGUCAACCAAACAGAGCAUAUCAAGUUGCAUUAAGAAUAGGUACCUCCCCUCAUAUUAAGGUAGACAAGUCACAUGCUAUUUUUAAAAACAGAUGGAAACUUGGUUUCUCUGUACACUUUAUGUGAUUUAUUACUGGUGUUUACUUACUAUUGUAAAUUGUUUCAUGUUUCCACAUACAAUUCCUUAUUCAUUGCAAAAAUUACUCAGUUGUCUAAUCUCUACCAGGGUUAGUUUUUUAUUCAUUAGCAUUUUGUAUGAAUAUUUGAGAAGCAACACUCUAAAAUAUUAGCACUGUCCCAGGAAAAUGCUUUCUUCUACAUUAAAAAAAAAAAAAACCCCAGAAUUUCAAAAUUGAAAUAAAAUUAAUGCUGCAAUAGUUUCAAAAGGUGGUUUCAAUUUCAUCUUCGCAGAUUAACACUUUCAAUGCUACUGUUUAAGGAAAUGCACAUUAGAAUUCCAGCAUCCUUUGUAGUGAUUAUUGACCUCUUAAGCUAAAUGUUGCCAGCACAACACAACUCUGAGAUUUAAGAAAUUUCUCUAAUUACAUUUGAAACAUCUAAAUCUGCAACCUGUUCUCUGGAGCAAAAAUCUGUGUAAUUCAUAUCUCUCUUUAUAGAGUCAUAUAAAAGUAAAACACAAGAAGCAAUUAGAUUCAUUAUUGGUAAAUGAGUUCUUAUAAAUUACACUUGUACUUGCUGAAAGUGAAAUUGUUAAACAAGAAUGACCUAACAUAAUUUCCCAUAAGAUGAAACUAAUAGGAAUUCUUGUGUUAAAUUCUAAUCUCUCUUGCCACACCCAAUAGUUCAAAUGGGUCCAAAUCAGGAAAAAAAACAUAUGAAACAAUUUUUUCACAAUGAACGGGGCACAGGUAAAAGUGAAGGGGGUUAAUCAGCCAUGUUUGGUUCUGAGCAAGCUAAAUUAAUAUUAUCCAAAAGAAAACUCUGAGCAUGGCGAUCUGUCAUCUUGGAUUUACAAGGAACGCCAGCAACAAAUGUUCAAGUGGACAAAAAUAUAUCCUCCAUUCAUAAGAAAGGGAUGAGGGUGUGGUCAUGCAUCCGCAGAUCAAAGAGAAGUUGACAUUUAGAGCUUAUUAAUAAAUCUUAUACUUUGGUAAAGAGAAAUAUUGAGUCACAAAGACUGCAGACACUAAUUCCAGAGUAAUUACAUGAUGGAUAAGGACCCUUGGAAGUAACAAGUCGCUGAGGAAUAAAUAUAGAAGAACCACUGAAAUAUUUAAGUAAUGUAUUCAUGGGAGGCUCUAACACACUAUUGGAUAAGCGAAUCUUACACUGUUAACUCUUCAGGAUCUCCCUUAGGCAAGAUGUCUUGAAAGCACAGCAAAGGGUCACUUUUAACUGUUUAUUUUAACAAAAGGAUGGGAUUGCAUUAGUGUAGGACAAAGUAAAUAUUGAUUUGAGAACCUAGAGCAUACAGUAAAACAUCAACCUUUUAAACCCUUUUAAAGGAAUUCAGUCAUAAAUAAAGUUCAUCUGUACUAUAUUCUCUUCUUCAGGAAAACAAUUGAUACAUAAUUCAUCCAUAAAGUAUCUUCACAUUAUCUUCACUGACGGCUACCCAGGCAGCUUAGUCACACUAUGGCAUAGAGAUAGCAUUUGUCCACCCUUCUGAAAGGGUGUGUUGUACUAUGGAUUACAAGCCCAUUUUAUUUAUGGCACGAUCUAUAAGGGCGACUUUUAAUAGUUCCACAUGAGCUGAGUGCUAAAAGACAAAGAUGACAAAUGUUAGUAUUAUUCUAACCAUGGUAAAAAUAGAAUCAAUAAUUUCACUUUUGGAAUCAGGAAAAAUAACUUUGAACUACUCCUCCAGGUCAUGUCUUAUUCAUUUAUCUCCUAUAAUUCUCUGCAAAAAGAAAACACUAUAGUCUGACUAAGAAUAUUGAUGAUCCACAGCAAUAAAUGAUUACUGUCAACUGUUUAUUCUUUACUUCAGUGAAUAUAAUAUGCCACAAUGGUCGCUGUGGCAUAAUUUGAAAUAUGAGUGUAUUGAAAUAGAUCUUACAUUUGGUGGUGAGGACAGGAAGGUGCCCUACUAUUCCUUAAGCAUAGUCUUUUGAGGUCCAGAAGACUUAAAGUAAAUAUGACAUAAUCAUUAUUGUCUAGGAACUUACAGUGUCAUUCCCAGAAACAACAAAUGUCUGGGUGAUUAUAGUCUUAGGUGAGCUUCAAUUUGCUCAUUAUGCAAAUUAUGUGAGAGAUAAAGUCCAAUAAGAAGAGGGCUUGCUACCCCUGAAAAGGUUUACAUUUAGGAUCUCAGCUCCAUCAUUCCUUCCCUUGAUGUUGGAGGGGAUGUGAUCAAGGGGAAAUGAGAAUGGGGGGUCUUAGGUUGUUUCUGGGCUAGAGAAUGCAAUCAAACAUAUUGUAUCGCAUGCUUUGACUCUCACUCUCCAACCAUGGACUGUUUCUGUUUGCUGGUUUCACAUGGGGCUCUUUGUCCUUAUCUCUGUCUUCUUCUAAGCAUAUAUCUACAUCAUGACUCCAUUUCCAGUGUGUGCCUUAACUCCAGCUAUUUUACUUCGAGAAAUUUAACAAAGGAAAAUAAUUCAAAAUUAUAUUAAAAUUUAUGCAAGUGAAUACUAGUGACAGCACUGUUUGAAAUAAAGGCCACUUCAAGACAACUUUACUGUUAGUUAAGAGUUGAUUUGAGAUAUGAUAUGCCUAUUUUGGUAGGUGUUGUGUUAUAGGGUAUUUCUCAGACCUCCCUUUGGGACAAGUCACCUCCCCAAGGUACUAAAAAGUUGCUUACCAAGUGUUUAGAUGGUCAUUUAAUGGCUUUGGCUAAAUGAACUCCCUUGCUCUGAGGCAACCUAGCUCCUUUUGAAGAGUUUAUUCAAUGGCUGUCUAUGUGAAGAUGCAAAAACUCCAUUUCAAAUUGGAUCACUCCUGAAGGACCCUCUCUGUAGUGUUAGCAUGAGUACUUAUUAAUGUCAUUCCAUGACAGCAGAGAACAUGAAAGUUCUGCACACAAUGUAAUCUCCAGAACUUACAAUGACACAUUGCUCAUAGUAGAUGCUCAAGAGAUGUCUACUGAG
rnacentral:lncRNA from 1 species